ACACCUACAAGCAGACAGAAGCGGAGAGAAAUAUGAUUUAUAAACAUACACAAAAUUGUAUCUGUCUGUAUAUAUGUACACAAGGAUGGAAAAGUUAAAAACUAAAAACAGAUAAUUGCAUCACUACAAUAAUUAUUAUUUGUAUUUGUGAAAAAAUCAUUUCAUGCUAACCAAAUUACGCCAGCUGCACCUGAACCCACAGGCGCACGUGAGCACGUCUCCAUGACAGCAUGCAAGAGCUUAUGUGAUGGUAAUGAAUGUUUUAAAAUACAAAUUGUUUAUUUGGCUUAAACCAAUCUACAUGGAGGCAAUUAUAUUUCGAAACAACCCUUUGCGCAAGUAGCUCGAACGAAUGCAAGGGGCGAUGCAAUUCGCAAAGUCGACAGAAGGUGACGACAUUUUACAAGAUUCUACAGCCAAAGGCACGAAAAGGGACACGAUGGAGAACAGUCUGAAGGUCUGGGGUACGGGAAAGAAAUGAAUGAAACGGAGGUGGGAACUCUACGGGGGAGAGUUCUCCUCUGGCUUCGGGCGUUUGAAGCGCAGUGCGCCGGCGAACGCUCGGAAACGCGGGCCGUGGAAACGGACGUCGCGCUCGGAGCCGAAUGGACGAACGGAGGGAGCGGCGUUCGUAAAGAAACAGUUUUGAGUUUUGUCGACUGUUUGGGAACUGCACGAGCUGCACCCCGUACGGCACUCAUGACAGCGCACUGGGAACACUGACUGGGCUCUGGCUUCGUGCAGAUGAAUGCAAUGCAUCUCAGCCCGGUCGCUGUUUACAGGCGUCGUCCAGGUGAAUUAAACAAGGACGUUAAAGGGAUAGUGGGAUGGUUCGCUUUGUUUUUAACGCCGUAUUAUCCGCGCACCGUACGUUUAUGACUUGCCCAGACGGUUGUUGCGUGUCACUAAGGAUUGUAAAUAUUUUCAGGUGUUUCCGGCAACCUGCCAGCUUUACAGUUCUACAGGAAAUUCAGGGAUUCCUGGCCCAAAGCAAGAAAGUACACCUCGGGAACCUCCUUGUGCAGCUUUAACACCCACCGUGUCUUUACAGGAAAACUGUCGGGGCCUAUCGAAAACUUGCACUAAAACUGAAAUAAUGUAGAACAAACUCCAGUGCGUGAACUAUCCCUUUAAACACAUUGUCCCACUUAAACUACUGAAACGGGAAGGAGCCUUAAUUAUUUCCCUGCAUACAGUGUCAUUUUUCACUGCCAGUCCUGAUUCAAAAUACACUCGGAACAUUAGCAAUAUUGGUUCUUUCCUUAGUAAGAAAAUUUCAUCAUUAAACUAUGUCUACCUGAAGGACAAAUGAACAAUUUAAAAUGCAAAACAUCUCAUGAAGCCAAAAACAUUUGAAACAUUUGCCUUUUAUGAUAUAUAUUUGAUUCCUUUGGACAUUAUCAAAAAUGUAUCAAAGAUUUAAAAUAAAGAGCUUAUAUCAUGAAUUGGAAAAAUGAUUCAAAUAGAUGCAAGCAAAUUCAGAUUGUUAAUUCCAAUCCAAAAUUGUCAGAUCAAAAUAAAGGAAAAAUUUUAAAUUUCUAUGUGAAGUUCUAUAUGUCAGGCUUCUAUCAAACAGAAGGAAGUUUGCUUAAAUAGAUGGCUGGAUGACUUGCAUACACAUGUUCAUUUUAUCACGUUAGAUCAUUUCCAAUAAUAUAAAAGUUAAUUCAUUUUGUGUCACAGGCACUGAUAUUUCUCAUAUGCCUUAAUAGUCAUCCUCUAUUGUGCAUUACUGUCAGUGAGCAUUUAUGGGUAUUACUUUCAUAAAUAAAAAAAAAAGUAAAAUCUGUCAAACUGUAUGCUGUUACUGUUGAGCGAUGUGUUUCUGCCACAUUUUUAGGCAAGUUAAAGAGUAGAAUAGAUAAUCGCAUGCCAGUAGCCAAGAACACGGAUCCAACAGCACACGCGCAUGCAGUUAGCUUUCAUCACUGGACUGCUGGAUGAUAAUGUGGGUACUGCAGUGGGGCAACGGUGGUGAUAGGAGCAGGCUGUGCUGGCGUCUCGCUGGGAGAGGACUGGCGGACUAUAAAAGGCCCAGUGCAGUAUAGAAUACUAGCCUGGCUAACC